CUUCUUCCACUCCGAUCUCCUUCCUCCCUCCGCGAUCGACUUCCAUGUCGCCGCUGACCACACCUUCGCCUUCGAUUGCUUCAUGAUCGACUUCCAACGCCGUUAAGCUCGCUUAGGUUAUCUCAGACGCAGACAGAUCUAAUGAAGUAAUCGAGAUCUAAGAGUUGUUCAUGAAGUGCACACUGGAUUCCAUAUUCAAAAUAGUUUGGGGGUAGAACUGAGCACGCUGUCCGAUCAAGCAAAGAAGGGAGGGCUUUCGCGAAGGCCUUCGAUGAUUCAAGUGCUUAAGUGCUUGUGAGCUACUUUGAUGUGAUCUGGAAAGUCAAGAGGUUUUUGAAUGUAGGCUCAGAAACCCAAAUCAAGAAGAACCUCAAAGCCAUCGAUGAUUUCGUCUACAAACUGAUUGAUGCAAAGAUUCAACAGAAGUCUAAACCACCUUAACCAUCCUCUUCCUUCAGUCCUCAAGUCUCCCUUCAAGCUCCUUGAUGGCCCCAAGAGCUCCACCGCCAGAAACUCAGAUGAGAUCGCCAAGCUAUUUCCUAACCUAUUUGGUCAGCCAUCGGCAAAGCUGGUGCUGGCCGGCUCGGACCCUUCAGAUUUGCCCUCAAGCCUGAAGAUAUGGGGUUGUAUUGUCUAGUGGCCAAGCUCCAGGUGGACACAAUGUGAUAUCUAGGAUGUUUGAUGAGCCUCUAUUUCGUUAACAUCUCGUGCUUGAUCUUACUUAUUCUUAAUCGAGGGCUUGUUGUUUUAUUUUUGUCAUUGCCAAGCUAUACUUUAUAUUAAUUAUAGUCAUUGUAAUUCUAGUUAUUCCAUGACGAAGAAAUAGACAAAAUCUGUUAGAUAAAGCUCCAAUGCUAGUUUGGAAACUAAGAGCAUUUACUUAUGGAUGCGUUAUAAUUAUAUCAAAAUAAUGUGAUCAGCAAUUGGAUUGGUAACACUGUAGGAGUCUUAAUGUGUUAAUUAUAUAUGUAUAUUGUAGUUGUAUGCCUAUAGGAGUCUUAAUGUAUACUGUAGGAGUCUUAAUGUGUUAAUUAUGUAUGUUGUAGUUGUUUUGCAGAUCUACUAUGAAAUGAUUGGAAAUGUAAUGAUAGAUGCUCGUUCAACUAGAAAAUAUUACCACUUUAAUCUCAUAAACUUCUGACAAUAAAUUGAUACUAAAUAGUUUUCCAAUGUAAAAUAAAGAAUACCUCAUAAGGUGGAGAAAGUAUUUUGGAAAUGUUUUUCUUAUCAUGUAUUGCAGUGUGCUUGUGGAUCGAAUUACCUUAGAGUGGAGGCUGCUCUAUGGAAGGAUAAUCAAAAUAGUAGUAAUUCUUUUAGAAAAGAGUGACCCAGGUCUUGCUGUGGAAUAUGAGCAAAUCUCUGAAGCAUACGAAGAGUGGUUGUCAGCAAUCCAAUUAUGCUGCUUGAUGAAAUUGAUCAAAUGGGUUCUAAUAUCGAGGGGAUCCAACAUCCGCAUUAUUGGAAGUUCUUGAUCCCGAACAAAAUAAAACUUUCAAUGAUCAUUAUUUGAAUGUUCCUUUUGAUCUAUCAAAGGUAAUUUUUGUUGCAACUGCAAAAAGAAUUCAACCUAUUCCUCCUCCACUCUUAGAUCGAAUGAAAGUCAUUGAGUUUCUUGGCUAUACACCUGAAGAAAAACUAAAGAUAGCUCUCAAGCAUCUUACACCACGAGUCUUAGAGCAGCAUGGAAUAAGCUCUCAGUUCCUUCAAAUUCCUUAGUUUGCAAGAUCUGGACACACUUAACUGUGAGCAAAUGCAAUUAUGAUCACUAGAACUAACUUUGUUGUGCUCUUCAGCACUGUGGUAAGUCUUUGUGUUUAGGGAAGUCUAAAAUACAUACUGAAUCCUGUUAUGUUUGCCACCUUCUGAAUUUAAAUUUGUUGCAAUAUUCAAGCUAACUAAAUAAUCAACUUGGUGAUUAUCAAAUGCACAAGCAGUUUUUUUUAAAAAAUUUUUGGAGUGAAUUUUUUAUUUUUUUAGUACCUUAUGAUGCCUCCUAGGUUUUUGGAUUGAUGACGAAGUUGCUCUUGAGAUUCUUAUUGUCGCAUAAUCCAAAGCACUUUAGCAACAUAUCCUUUAAUCCAUCAACCCCCAAAUCUCUCCUAUUGUUGUUCAUGGAGAAUGGACAGGACUCGGAAGAUGAAAUAGGGGAACAUAUAGCUCAAACAUCCAAUCUUAGACUACUCCUCACAAAACCAACUCACACGAUACAUCUCCAAUAGCAGAAGUUUGAUGAUGCAUUCAUGCAUCCAUUUUCUUGAGGAUGCAAUAGAAAGUAUAGUCGUUGGUUAUUUAAGUUUAUGGUUUGGUAUGACUGAUAUAGAUUCUACUUAUUUUAAAGUCAUAUACUCUUUUGUAGGAAAGAAAUUAUGUUACUAAGUGAAUUUUUUGUUACUA